AUUAAGAUUACUUUUGGAGGGUGAGCCAGUAAUUUAGCGGGUAGCGUGCUAUCUAUCUUUUUUUUUUUAAAAAAAUAUUUAUUUGUUGUCUUUUUCGUUACCAUUUCGGAUUAGCCAAAUUUUUUUUAUCUUUGUGCUAAGUUUAUUUUUCUAAUGGAUUUUUUUUUUUGAGAGAUAAGUCGCACGCUACCCGCUUCGUUUAUUUCAUUUAGAAAUAAAUUUAUUAUGCUGGAAAUGUGAAUCAACUAGAAUUCGAACUUGGGACCUCAGAUACCAACCACUAAGUCUUUUGCCACU
rnacentral:lncRNA from 1 species